rnacentral:rRNA from 1 species
GGUAUGUAAUCCUGUUUGCUCCCCACGCUUUCGCACCUGAUCGUCAGUCUUUGUCCAGGGGGCCGCCUUCGGCACCGGUAUUCCUCCAGAUCUNUACGCAUUUCACCGNUACACCUGGAAUUCUACCCCCCUCUACAAGACUCUAGCCGGACAGUUUUAAAUGCAAUUCCCAGGUUGAGCCCGGGGCUUUCACAUNUAACUUAUCCAACCGCCUGCGUGCGCUUUACGCCCAGUAAUUCCGAUUAACGCUUGCACCCUCCGUAUUACCGCGGCUGCUGGCACGGAGUUAGCCGGUGCUUNUUCUGCGAGUAACGUCACAGNCGGCAGAUAUUAGCUACNGACCUUUCCUCCUNGCUGAAAGUGCUUUACAACCCGAAGGCCUU